CGAACGCUGGCGGCGCGCUUAACACAUGCAAGUCGAACGGAAAGGCCCUGCUUUUGUGGGGUGCUCGAGUGGCGAACGGGUGAGUAACACGUGAGUAACCUGCCCUUGACUUUGGGAUAACUUCAGGAAACUGGGGCUAAUACCGGAUAGGAGCUCCUGCUGCAUGGUGGGGGUUGGAAAGUUUCGGCGGUUGGGGAUGGACUCGCGGCUUAUCAGCUUGUUGGUGGGGUAGUGGCUUACCAAGGCUUUGACGGGUAGCCGGCCUGAGAGGGUGACCGGCCACAUUGGGACUGAGAUACGGCCCAGACUCCUACGGGAGGCAGCAGUGGGGAAUAUUGCACAAUGGGCGGAAGCCUGAUGCAGCAACGCCGCGUGCGGGAUGACGGCCUUCGGGUUGUAAACCGCUUUCGCCUGUGACGAAGCGUGAGUGACGGUAAUGGGUAAAGAAGCACCGGCUAACUACGUGCCAGCAGCCGCGGUGAUACGUAGGGUGCGAGCGUUGUCCGGAUUUAUUGGGCGUAAAGGGCUCGUAGGUGGUUGAUCGCGUCGGAAGUGUAAUCUUGGGGCUUAACCCUGAGCGUGCUUUCGAUACGGGUUGACUUGAGGAAGGUAGGGGAGAAUGGAAUUCCUGGUGGAGCGGUGGAAUGCGCAGAUAUCAGGAGGAACACCAGUGGCGAAGGCGGUUCUCUGGGCCUUUCCUGACGCUGAGGAGCGAAAGCGUGGGGAGCGAACAGGCUUAGAUACCCUGGUAGUCCACGCUGUAAACGGUGGGUACUAGGUGUGGGGUCCAUUCCACGGGUUCCGUGCCGUAGCUAACGCUUUAAGUACCCCGCCUGGGGAGUACGGCCGCAAGGCUAAAACUCAAAGGAAUUGACGGGGCCCCGCACAAGCGGCGGAGCAUGCGGAUUAAUUCGAUGCAACGCGUAGAACCUUACCUGGGUUUGACAUGGAUCGGGAGUGCUCAGAGAUGGGUGUGCCUCUUUUGGGGUCGGUUCACAGGUGGUGCAUGGCUGUCGUCAGCUCGUGUCGUGAGAUGUUGGGUUAAGUCCCGCAACGAGCGCAACCCUUGUUCACUGUUGCCAGCACGUUAUGGUGGGGACUCAGUGGAGACCGCCGGGGUCAACUCGGAGGAAGGUGGGGAUGACGUCAAGUCAUCAUGCCCCUUAUGUCCAGGGCUUCACGCAUGCUACAAUGGCUGGUACAGAGAGUGGCGAGCCUGUGAGGGUGAGCGAAUCUCGGAAAGCCGGUCUCAGUUCGGAUUGGGGUCUGCAACUCGACCUCAUGAAGUCGGAGUCGCUAGUAAUCGCAGAUCAGCAACGCUGCGGUGAAUACGUUCCCGGG
rnacentral:rRNA from 1 species